rnacentral:lncRNA from 1 species
CUCUUCCCACCCCGCAGACUCAGCAGCUGGAUUAGCCCUCGGCAGGCAGGAGAGACUGGAGCUACUGGGUGAUCCUGACGAGUGAAUGUCACGGAAUGAGGGGAGGCAAAUUUGCUCCUUUCCACCCACAGCAGGUGGAAAAAAACACAGUAUAUUGUUAUGUUUUUCUUCUGCAUGCGCUUCUCAAAGCACUGGGGAAGUAUUUAUUUUAAACUUCACAGUCUCUGUGAAGGGCACAAUUACAGUCACUAGCCCUGUGACAGAGAGAAACACUAAGAACCUGCUCAAGCUACGAGCAACUUACUACUGUGUAGUACAAGAAAGAAUGAAAUUAGCAUCUUCCGAAUGAAAUAUCCAGCAGCCUCCAGAAGGUGCUGAAAUCCUUUGACAUCUCCAAGACUCUUUCACACUUUUCAAACAAGCUUGUCACAGUUUCUCAGAGCAUCAAUGGAUCUGGUGAAACUGCAUAUUCUGCGACUUUAGUUUCACUCAAGCUUCAGCCAGGUCUUGCUUCAACUUGGCUGUCUCUGGUGUUCUGGUCAACUAGGAAAUUGCAUUAUCUCAUUCUAAUUAAAUCAGCUUUUCAUCUUCAGCUGGAAGUUUUCGUUGGGUUUUGGUCUUGCCUGUCUCCAUCAGGCUGCUGUGAGUGAUUAAGGCAUUAGCACACCCCCCCCAGAGUGGCUGCAUUAAGCCAUGGGCAGAAGGGUUCCUGUGCCCGAGCACGUGGUGCUCCCUGAUGGGAUUGCUGGAGAUGCGAGGCCAAGCUGUGGGAUUUGCUGGCACUGGGUCCAUCACGCACUGCCCUUCCUCCCCUGUGCCUUUCCUGCCAGGGACUCGUGCUGGGCUGUGGGGUUGGAGUCUCACAGGGCGGCUCGGGCAGAGGAACCCCCUCAUAUCAGUGUCAGCAGAAGAGACAGGCACCAGAUUAAAUUCACUCUCAAAGCUUUCAAGGUAUUUUUUAACCCAUGACAGCUCCCAAGGAACAUGCUUGGUGGUAGCUCAGCAUCCCCAGCACCAGACUGGGCAGGAGUCUCCCUAUUUCUGCAGCCUCCUGGCUGCCAGCACCUUUAAUCCUCUGCCCACUGAUGUUUGCAAAGAGCCCCACACUGCAGCAGCCCUGCAAGGAGCAGGAGAAUCUGGGAGGCCAUCCAGGGAGGUGAUGGCUACAGGCAAGUGAAAGCAGUGAUGAUGACAUUUAUCUCCUCUGCUGGUGUCAGGUGGACUGAGAUUUUCCACAUGCCUGAGAGCUGGGCAGUGGGAUGAGGGCAGGCAGAUAGGGACAGGGUGCUGACUGCCCCGAUAGCGUGAGAAUGCGGCUGCACAGCCGGUGAUCAGACGGGAGCUGGGGGGUGUUGGUGAUGUGACACCUUCUGUGCAAGCUCCAGGGCUGCCACAGCCCCAUGUGGUACCUGAGCUGAGCAGGGUUGUGUUUUAUGGGCUGGGUGGGGGUGCCUGAGGAGGGGAUGAGUUCUUCCUCCAGCUGGGAUCAUAGAAUCACAGAAGGGUUUGGGCUAAGCUCUCCAUAGCAGAGGGGCUCCAGCCCUCAGAGCAUUUCCAUGGCCUUUCAUGGACUCAUUCCAACAGGUCUGUGUCUUUCCUAUGCUGGAGACCCCAGAGCUGGACACAGUGCUCCAGGUAAGGUCUCACCAGGGUGGAGUAGAGGGGCAGCAUCACCUCCCUUGACUAGGGGUAGGUUGCUGGAGGGUAUGAUUCAGAAAUAAAUUGAUGUAUGUAUAAUAUUUUCCUUUGAGG